rnacentral:rRNA from 1 species
AGUGAACGCUGGCGGUAGGCCUAACACAUGCAAGUCGAACGGCAGCACAGUAAGAGCUUGCUCUUACGGGUGGCGAGUGGCGGACGGGUGAGGAAUACAUCGGGAUCUACUUUUUCGUGGGGGAUAACGUAGGGAACUUACGCUAAUACCGCAUACGACCUACGGGUGAAAGCAGGGGAUCUUCGGACCUUGCGCGAUUGAAUGAGCCGAUGUCGGAUUAGCUAGUUGGCGGGGUAAAGGCCCACCAAGGCGACGAUCCGUAGCUGGUCUGAGAGGAUGAUCAGCCACACUGGAACUGAGACACGGUCCAGACUCCUACGGGAGGCAGCAGUGGGGAAUAUUGGACAAUGGGCGCAAGCCUGAUCCAGCCAUACCGCGUGGGUGAAGAAGGCCUUCGGGUUGUAAAGCCCUUUUGUUGGGAAAGAAAAGCAGCAGGUUAAUACCCCGCUGUUCUGACGGUACCCAAAGAAUAAGCACCGGCUAACUUCGUG